rnacentral:rRNA from 1 species
CAGCAGCCGCGGGAAUACGAAGGGUGCAAGCGUUAAUCGGAAUUACUGGGCGUAAAGCGCGCGUAGGUGGUUUGUUAAGAUGGAUGUGAAAUCCCCGGGCUCAACCUGGGAACUGCAUCCAUAACUGCCUGACUAGAGUACGGUAGAGGGUGGUGGAAUUUCCUGUGUAGCGGUGAAAUGCGUAGAUAUAGGAAGGAACACCAGUGGCGAAGGCGACCACCUGGACUGAUACUGACACUGAGGUGCGAAAGCGUGGGGAGCAAACAGGAUUAGAUACCCCGGUAGUCCCUGUCUCUUAUAC